GGCCAUCCUUGACUAUAUAGUGACUUUCAGAAUAGCCUGAGAUAUAUGGACUUCUGUCUCAAAAUAAAAUGAAACAUUAAAAACAAAGAAAAUGAUUUUAUUCUAUUUUUUUGCUAUUAAUCAUCACUAAACUAUAACUUUUUCUUCUUUAUUAGUGAACACUUGUCCUGCUCUUUCACCUUUUUCUUGCAUGGAGACAGCAAUGUUUGUACCAGUGUGGAAAUUAACCAACAUCAACCUGUAUACCUUCUCAGUGAAGAGCAUGUCACCCUUGCUCAACAGUCUAAUAGCCCAUUUCAAGUUAUCUUAAGUCCAUUUGGACUAAAUGGCACUCUCACGGGACAGGCUUUCAAGAUGUCUGAUUCAGCUACGAAAAAAUUAAUUGGUGAAUGGAAACAGUUCUAUCCUAUUUCAUGUGGUUUGAAGGAGAUGUCUGAGGAGAAACAGGACGAUAUGGAUUGGGAAGACGAUUCUUUGGCUG
rnacentral:lncRNA from 1 species